GGGACAUCUCUUGCGGCAGUGCGUGUAGGUGCUUGAGACCGAGAAGCACCCGCUCUAGCCCGCAGGAGAUUAUGUGGGGGCGCUUUCUGACCUCUACUGCAUCUUCUCGGUUCUUCUUGUGCAUUUCGCCGCUGAGAGGAUAGCCGUGUCCCGUUGAGGAUGCCUAACAGAGACAAACAAGAUCAUCUCAUCAAUUGAGAAUGACAUCAUGUUGCUACAUCUCAGCUCAAGUGAUCAAAGAGGAGAGAAAACAAGCUAAUUGGAUCUCAUCAGGGAAAUCAGAGUUCUGCCACUGGUCUCUCGCUGAACUGCAUGGAACAGAAGCUGUGGCAGAGAACAUCUGACAGACUGUCACUUCAACUGGGAGGCUGGAAGAGCAAACCAAAGAGGGACCUAUCGUUAGGCUGGCUUACUGCUGAGUCUUACGGAGUCUAAAACGUGUGAGAAACGGAACAUCCAGUGGCAGUGGACGAUGCAUCCCAAAUGGCCAAAAAGCUCUCACAGUCUCACUGCGGAAUUAGACGCUCAUCCACGUUCUCCAAACGGCAAAUUGGAAGUUGCUCUAAACAUUUUUGUUACUACUGCUGCUCUGUAUUGUUCCAUUUCUUCAAACAUCACAUUUCAAAGUUACGGGUUAUGUUUAGCCAGUCAUUCCCGAAUGGUUAAGAAUUUGUUCUUAACUGACUUGCCUAGUUAAAUAAAGGUUAAAUAAAAAAAAUAAAAGGGUUAAGUCAUUUCGAAUAGUUAAGGGUUAAGUUUAGCCAGUCAUUUCAGAUGGUUAAGG
ensembl:lncRNA